rnacentral:rRNA from 1 species
AGCAGCCGCGGUAAUUCCAGCUCCAAUAGCGUAUAUUAAAGUUGUUGCAGUUAAAAAGCUCGUAGUUGAAUUUCGGGGUUAGUAGGUUGGUCAUGCCUCUGGUAUGUACUGGUCUCACUGAUUCCUCCUUCCUUAUGAACCGUAAUGCCAUUAAUUUGGUGUUGCGGGAAAUUUGGACUGUUACUUUGAAAAAAUUAGAGUGUUUAAAGCAAGCUAACGCUUGAAUACAUUAGCAUGGAAUAAUGAAAUAGGACGUUCGAUCUUAUUUUGUUGGUUUU